UUUUUUUUUUGUUGAAAAUCUUUCCUUUUCUUCCACUAACAAACACAUGACCCCACUAAUUUGCAUUUUUUUCCUUCAUUUUUACUUAUUUUUUAUUCAAAUCUAAAUUUAGCUUAAAUGUAUUUUUUGUCUUCUUAUUUACAUAUUUUUGAAGUUUUAAUACCCUUAUUUCAAAAACCAACAUUUUGAUCCUCUAUUAAGAAAGUAAACGGAUAUUUUUGGUACCCCAACAUCUUCAUUGAUGUGACGCUUACUUGGCACAAUGAUUUGAAAAAUAUAUUUUUAUUUUACUUAUAUAUUACAAUAUUAGUAUUCAUUAUAAAAAUUUCUUCAACAAAUCUUCAUCUUCAACAACCAACAACCACAUACACAUUUGGGGGUUGAGUUUUAAGAGUGCUGAUGAUGGAUUCUAAUUAAUCUUGUGUUAGUGUUGAAUGUUGAUGGAAAAGAUGGAGGCAGUUAUUUUAAUUAAUUUAUAAUAUAAAAAUAAAAUAAAUAAUAAUAUUAAUGAAUAAGAAUGACAUGGAAAAUAUUUUUUAUACCUGAUUAAUACACGGCCAGCAUCAUGUCAUUAACAGGAUGUGACAUCAUCAAAAUUUAUGGGGGAUCAAAAAAAAUUGUUGACUUCCUUAAUAUAGGGAUCAAAAAAUUGGUUUUUAAAAUAUGGGAUUAAAACUUCAAAAAUGUUCGACCAAAAAAAAAAACUUCAAAAAUGUGUAUAUAAAAAACCCUUAAAAAGAAAAUUAUAUCCGUUACACCACUAUUAUAAAAAAAAAUUAAAAUAAAAGAAAAAACAAAUAGGAAUAGUUGGACAACUUGCACCAUUUUCUACCCACCCAACCUUUCUUUUAUUCUUAUUAUUUUUUAACAAGCAAUGUAAAAUUUAUAAUGUUAAUUUUUCCAUUUUGAAAUUAUUAUCAAAUUAUUAUCAAAUGUGGUAGAAAUUUAAGUUAAUACGAAUAAAUAAAUAUUUUAUAAUUUUUUUAAGGAUUGUAAUUAAAUAUUAUGAGGUAAUUUAUAAUUUAAUUAAUAAAUUACUUUUGUUUAAUGAUGCAAAGUUAGUGGGGCAUAUUUAAGUACUUUUUAUUUGAGUCCUUAUUAGUGUAUUGUCAUUGGAGUCAUUGAGUCUUUAAUAAGUACUUUUAUUAAUAUAUUAUAAAUAAGUGACGUGUAACGUGGGGUCCAUUUAAGGAGUCUCUAUUAAGGAACUACCAUUAUGGAUGCUCUAAAGGAUUGAAUGUGAAAAAUGUGAAUGUGAAUUUACUCAUGAAUUUAUGUUUCAAUAUCACUUUAUUAUUAUUGUACAAGUAUCAUGCUUUAAACUUUUUUUAUCUGAAUUAGAUUGUGAUGGUAAAUGUGAAAAAUGCAAAAAUGAGAGAGUUAUUGAAACGCACUGUUUAACUUGUAAAAUAAAAAAUUAAUAAUAAUUAAAAAAAUUAAAUUUAUGAAACUAGUAAUAAAUUAUCCAUCGGUAAUUUACUAAACUAUAUAGGACAAUUCUUGUCCAUUUUUUUUUUUUUUUUACUAUUUUGCCCUGAUGAAAGUAUUUUGGUAAAUUAGUAAAUAGUGACUUUCCCAUAUAGAUUUUAAAAGAAUUUUCCCCAUUUCAUUCUUGAGUAGUGAUAUUUGUACAUCCAAUUGAUGACAACUUUGGUGACAACCUUGUUUUUUUCUCUUCUUAUUGAUCAAAAAACAAUGAAGAAAGAAAAAGCGGUAUCUAAGAGAAAGUUGUGCAAAAGUUGUCAAAAGGGUUGUACAAAUAUCAUUUCUCUUUGUUCUUCACUUCUCUUUCUAAGAAAACCCUCCCUCUCCCUCUGUUUUCUCUUCUUCCCUCACGUGUUCCUCCAUCCUUCACCUCAAUUUAUCUAAUUCUUCUCAAAUCAAGUAGAAAUCAACAUUCAAUCCCAUCUUCACACUCUAAUUGGCAAACUAAACUAGAAUCCAACUUUAAAUUUCUUCCCCUCCCUUUUAUUCCUCUCAGUCGAACCCUCUUUAAGAAAGAAAAUUGGAAAAGUUCAUUGUUUAAGCUCAUCAAAAACAUUGCAUGUGAAGCCUGGCUGAUUUGUUGUGUUGUUUGGUUGCUGCAAGAGCUUGGGUACUAACUACUGACUAUGGGUGAUUCAUUCUCUAAAGGAAGUAGUUGAAGUGGAAGGUUGAGAGAAAGCUAGGGCUUUAUCAAGGACGUUGAUGCAUAAACUAAAAGUUGAUAUUUAAGCUAAACUAAGUUGUUCUAAGACUAGGGCUGGUACAAAGAUUAUGGAUGAUCAAAAAGGGUUUCAAGGGGAUAUUAGAAGUGGUUUUUGCUGCUAUUUGGAAUGAGAACAUGUAAACAGAAGCAAGAAUCAAUGAUUAAGGUAUGAAUUUUUAAGCUGUUUGGACAUGUUCUGAUAUUUGGGUUGUAUCAUUUAGUGUGUAACUGUUUUUUUCUCUCUUAAAUGAAGGGUGUAAAGAAUUAAAAAGAGUUAUGUCANGAAAAUUUGAUUAUAACUUUUAGUUUAAAGUAAAUGUUCUAAUACUAUUUAGUAAUUAUUUCAAUAUAUUUUGAUGCAAAAGAUAAGUAGUGUGAUUCUUGUGAACGCAAUCAAAAAGGUUUUUAAUCAAAUAUUAAUGUGAUUUUUAUCAUAUUUUAUCAUAUUAAUGUAUUUUAUCUUGUGAUUUUUCAUCACCUUGUUUUAUAUUCCAAAAUUGUUUUGAGAAAUAAUUGAGAAAUUUCCUAAACUAAUUUUAAGGAAAAAAAAAAAAAAACUUAUUUGUGACGGAAUAUAGGAAAGUCACAAAAUUUUUAUUUUGCAGUAUUGCGUCGGAUACCACUGCGAUGCUAAUCAAAUUCCCAGAUAUUUUGCGACGGGAUUAUUCCCUCAGUUAUUUGCAACGGUUUCCUCCCUCAGUAAUUUGUGACGGAUAUAUUUAAAGUCGGUAUUUUGUGACGGAAAACUGGGUCACAUAUACCCAUAAAGUGGGAGUCUUAGCGACGGAAUUUUGUUCUUUGCGACCGUAUCUGAGCCGCCGCAAUGAGUGACGGAGUUGAUAUUCCGUCGGUCAAUUUUUCCGACCCCCAUUAUUACGACGGAUUUCCGGAGCGUCGCAAAACCCGUCACAAUGUCGUUUGCUACGAAUUUUAAUCAUUGGCGACGGAAAAGGGCCGUCGCUAAAUCUGAGUUUUUUGGUAGUGUCCGUCAGAAUGUCGUUUGCUAUGGAUUUUUGACUACUUUGCGACAGAAAAUGGCCGUCGCUUAGUCCGAGUUUUCUAGUAGUGUGAAAUGAACUUUUUUUUUUGAAGGAAAAAGUAUUGUGAAAAGCAAGUUAAAUCAUAUCCUAUUUUUAAGAUGUAAAGAGAGAAAAAAAUAUGUUUGAAACUCCAAAGUUCGUUUAUAAUCUGAUUCUACUUAUUUCCAUAUUUCUUUUCAUAAUAAUAUGUAAUUCUACUUAUUUACCAACUACUCGUAUUUGUUGAACAUAUAAAGAUUGUCCAAGUGUAAAAAAUUAUAUUGGUAGGUGUCGUAAAAGCUACUGCCAAGCGAGAAAACUGAGAUGAAUGAGUUCUUGCUCUAGAAAAAGAAUUGCAAUUUCUUUUAUGCUAGAAUAUUUGAGGAGUUGUCAUUUAGUUUUUGUGCGUGAACCAAAUAAUUGUAUUUAUAUCAUAUUCCUUUUGUAAUUAAUUUAUUAAUUGUGAGAGUAAUUUUUAAAAUAUAAAUUUGAAAAGUUGCAAUGGUUAAGAGAGACCUUUUAGUAAAUGGUGUAAUUCUUGAUAAUUCAAGUAUUGUAACCAUUCAUGAACAAAUUCUUCUAAAAAGUUGUCUUUCUUCAUCAAAAGGACAUAAGUUUCUCUAUAAAUAGAGACAUUUUGGAGGCAGAAAUUCAUUAAACAAAAAAAAUAGAACAUCACAUUCUUUUGAAUCAAAGAUCUGCCAAAAGUAAUACUAAAUAAUCUUUCUUUUCUCAAAUGCAUGAGAGAAAUUGACAGAUCUUUAUUAUGUAAACUAUCAUUGAUCGAUAUAUUUGGUGUGAACAUGCAAAACGUCAAGGAUUCCAAAAUAUUUUGAAGGAGAUUUGCUGGUAUUCCUUUUUGCAUCCGGUUGGCAUCACUGAUGGAGGCGAAUCAAAUGUAAAGGUUAGUGUAUUCCACACACACUUUAGAUUUUAUGUCCACUUUUCAUCAUGUUCAUCAUCAUCUACUUGAUCAAGUUAUUGCAGCAGACUCAAACAUUAAUUAUGUAAUCACAUGUAUAAAAGAACAUUUGUAAUGCUAUUUAGACACACAGUUUUAGUAAAUGUCUAACAUUCUUUAUGAUCCAAUGAUUAAAUAAAAAUGUAAUUUGAUCCCACAUGCAUUCUACUUGUAUACAAAUAGGUUCUCAUCCCAAUGGUGAAUUAUAUAUCCUUAGAUAAUUUUACCAUGGUACAAAAUAUAUUUUUUCUCUUUAUUGUCACAAAAUGUUAAAAAUGAAAUGAACUUUUUUUUGAAGGAAAAAGUAUAGCGAAAAGCAAGUUAAAUAAUAUUUAACUCUUAAGGUUAUCAAGUUUACUAGUUGAACUUUUUUCUAAGUGUGAAAAUGACAAACAUAACACACUGAUGUACUUAAGAGGCAUUUUGUAAGUAUUCUAAUAUUAUGAAGGGUUUUAAAAUUUUAAAAAAAUGUAAUUACUUGUAUGAGAGUAUAAACAUAUUACACUAUACAUAUAUCAAAUCAUAUCUUAUUUUUUAGAUGUAAAGAGAGAAAAAAUAUGGUUGAAACUCCGAAGUUCGUUUAUAAUCUGAUUCUACUUAUUUACAUAUUUCUUUUCAUAAUAAUAUGUGAUUCUACUUAUUUACCAACUACUCGUAUUUGUAUAACAGAUAAAGAUUGUCCAAGUGUGAAAAAUUAUAUUGGUAGGUGUCGUAAAGGCUACUGCCAAGCGAGCAAACUGAGAUGAAUGAGUUCCUGCUCUAGAAAAAGAAUUGCAAUUUCUUUUAUGCCAGAAUAUUUGAGGAGUUGUCAUUUAGUUUUUGUGCAUGCACCAAAUAAUUGUAUUGUUUUUCAAAUUUCAUGGACCUUGAAGUUAUGAAUUUUACUACUAUGAAAAGCAAAAUUAGGAAGAGAAAUUAGUUAAGAAAAAAUAAAAUCCCUCACAAAUUCCUUGAUUGCAAAAUUUACUGAAGGAAUUAGAGAGGGAUUUAAUAAAUGCCUCUUGAGCAUAUCAGUGUGUUGUAUUUAUCCUAUUCACAUUAAGAAAGAAGUUCAAAUAAUAAAUUUGAUAAUAAUAAGAAUUGAAUAUUAUUUAACUAACUUUUCAAUGUAAAGGGAAAACAAUAUAUUUUUUACCAUUGUAAAAUUAUCUACGAAAAUAACACACCAUUGGGAUGAGAACAUACAUAUUUAUGCACAAGUAGAAUGUACGUGGGAUAAAUUCAUUUUUUUGUUUAAUCAUUGGAUCAUAAAGAACGUGAGACAUAUAUUUGCUAAAAUUGUGUGUCUGAAUAGCAUCACAAAAGUUCUUUUAUACACGGGAUAACUUAAUUAAGUUAAUUAAUUACAAAAGGAAUAUGAUACGCUAAGAAGCUUUCUACCAAACAUAGAGAGAAACCCAACAAAUUUGCAAUCAAACGCUCCCAUCUUUGAGAAAUAGAACAUGUGUAAAUAUGAGACUUGCUUAGAUUAAUAAUUUGUCAUGAUGCUUGAGCAUAUAAGUCAAAUAAAUUCGUGAGGAUAUUCAUUGUUCUAUUAAGGACCUCCUUGGCUAUACAAAAGAGAAGAUAAGGGAUCACCUUUCUUAAUCACAACAUAUAGAAGCAUGCAAAAUAGUACUAAUCUACUUGUAAAAUUUAUCAUUAAAACCAAAGCAAAUCAACACUUUUAAGUAGAAAUUUCCAAUCUAAUGUGUCAAAGGCUUUUCAAAUGUUUAUUUUGAGAAAAAUUUUGCAAUAAAAAGAACUUUGGUUAAGCAUAUUGAUAACUUUAGAUGUCAGACAAAUGUCAUCACCAAUAUUUCUGCUUAGAAUAAAUCUCCUUUGCUGAGUAUAUAUAAUUGGGUGAAAAUAUUGAAUUUGAGUUUGGCCAAGGUUAUAAGACGUUUAGGAAUUAAAACCACACUGUUGGAAUUGUAGAUAGGAAUUAACCAAUCAUUUUUGAAGAAUUGAGAAAUUGCAUUGAAGACAUUAGUUCUCACAAUGUCCCAAUAUUGCACUGAGGGAAAUUUAGUGAGGGAAAACGUAAAAUCCCUCCCUAAUUCCGUCACUAAAUUUUGCGACCAAGGAAUUUGUGAGGAAUUUCAUUUUUUCCGUCACUAAUUUCCCUCGUUAAUUUUGCUUUUUCUAGUAGUGUGUAUUCAUUUCAAAAAUUGCUUGCUUUACUUCUUCACAACUGAGAAGAUUAGUGAACAUUGCAUUCAUAGUGUUGUCAACCGAGAAGAUUACCAAAUAUGUGUUUCUUCCAAUCUCUAAACUUGACUUUGAGAUUCUUCAGCUUAGUAUGUAAAGUAUACUAACCAUUUCAUGAUUAGGCGUAUGUACACGCCCUGUGCUGAUUCUGACGACGAUUGAUCUCAUAUUUUUUUUGUUUAUUGACAUUGAGGUCAAUGUAGGUUUUAAGUUUGGGGGAGGAAUUUCCCACCUUAACUGUUUAGUUUAAUUGUCGAGUCUGAUAAAUAAUUGUGUUUGAUGUGCUAUCGAGUCAAUAAUGCAUGUGUUUGUGCUUUUGUUGUUAGAUUUCCCAAUUCUUGAAUCGGAUAAUUUUUUUUUGAAAGGCUUAGGAUUUGUAGUGUCACUUAGAAAGUAUAUAGAUUUCAGAGGUAGAGAGGUUAAGAGUUAAGGAUACUGGGUAAAAUUUCAAAAAAAAUCGGUGUUGUUCCACCACCUAAAAUCUCCCGAAUAUNNNNNNNNNNNNNNNNNNNNNNNNNNNNNNNNNNNNNNNNNNNNNNNNNNNNNNNNNNNNNNNNNNNNNNNNNNNNNNNNNNNNNNNNNNNNNNNNNNNNNNNNNNNNNNNNNNNNNNNNNNNNNNNNNNNNNNNNNNNNNNNNNNNNNNNNNNNNNNNNNNNNNNNNNNNNNNNNNNNNNNNNNNNNNNNNNNNNNNNNUUAUUUUUGAAACAGUUUUACACUGUCAAGCACUAAAGUUUUUUUUAGCUUUUACUUGAUCAACAAAUCAACCUAUUUACAAGACUGUUUUUUUAGCUUUGGGAGUAUCGGUUUUGUCUGCUGUGCAGUGAUGUUUCAGUAGUGGCUUUGCGGUUCUAGAAGGUGUGCCUAGGAUGUUAGUAGGUUUUGUUUGGCUUUUGCUGUCAUUUUCUGGUGUUGGCUGCUUCUAGAUGGGUUAGGCAGCACUGCUGUAGCAGCAACUGUGUUUAUGUUGAAGUGGUGGUUUGUUCCUCCGUUUGUUGGUUUUGGGUUGUCAUGCAGGGGUAUGCGCUAUAUAGUAGUAUUUUUUUGCUGUCUUUUGUUGCUUGGAGCUCCCUUUCUGUUUUGGUCUAUGGCUGUAUACUCCUGCAUCACGAUUAGGAGGUUUUGGGGUUUUUGUCGUGCCGCCAAUAUUCGAGAUCAUGACAAGGAGAUAGGCUGAUCCCAUUGAGCCAUACCCAUACCCAUCUUUAACAUUAACUACAAGAAAAAAUGCAUUUUGCGACAUUUAAAAUGACUGAUGGCGACGGUUAGAAGGGUCGCAAAUGUACAUUUGCGACAGUUCCCCAACAGUCGCGGAUGUUGGGGUCGCAACUGUCAUUUGCGACAGUUGAGAGAACUGUCGCAAACGCUAAAUUAUGAGCAUUCCCAUAGAUUGAAGGGACUUGCGACCCUUCACAACCGUCGCAAUGUAGGAACUAUAAUUUAAUUUAAUGGGCUUGCGACCCUUCACAACCGUCGCAAGGGUUUAUUUUAAAAAUAAAAAUAAAAAUUGGGCAAUUUUUAUUGACAAUUAAAUAAAUAUAUUAAUAAAUACUUAAAUACAGAAAUAUAUAUAUAUAUAUAUAACUAAAAAUAUCUAAAUUCCAUUCAUAUAAUUCUUUCAACAGUAACAAUCAAAACAAUAGAUAAAUUACAUAGUUUAAUCUCUCCAAAAACAAACAAAUAAAAUAGCCAUGACUAAAACUUAGCAUCUAUAGACUAUUAUGCAAUGAAGCAUGCUUUUUGGGUGAAACACUCCUCCUCGCCAAAGGAGAUAUGACUGAUGCCUGCAAUAGCUUGCUUCAAUUUUCAACAACAAACAAAUAAAAUACAAGUUAGCAUAAAUCCAUUGCAAAACUAUCCUAGCCUGAUAGAUACAAUAAUUUGAAGUCUGUUUUCUUUUUUAUAAAAAAACGCAAUACCUCGUACAUGCAAAUUCCGAUUUUAUUUGUUGAAGGGUUGGCACUGCCAUCUUCUGAGGCCUCAUCUUCUCCAUUGGCUACAAAUAUUCCACUGCCAGUAAUCUCCUUCAUCUUAUACUCUGAACAUGGCUUUCUGGAAAUUCAACAACAAAUUCAGAAGCCACGCAAGGUUGGACAAAAAAUACCAAGCAAAACUGAUCUAGGAUUAUAAGUUCAGUUCAUAAAUGAUACAAAACUUGAGCUAGUAUUCACCUCACACUAGUCUAGAAACACAUUUAAGCUGGUCUAGAAACACAUAUUUAAGCUGUUAAUAAAGCAGCAGGGCAGAUUAAACUAAAAGGCAAAAGUAUGUAUGGAUUCAUGGUGAGUUUGACAGAAUUAAAAUGUGCUACCAGACAAUUUAGGCAAAAACAUAGUUGAGCACUUCAACCAAAUCACAAUAUAGUCAUAGUCUUGUGCUACCGCAAUUUAGGAAAAACUAUACUUGUGCCAUGUAUGUGAUACUGAUAGUCAUAUAAAGAAGGUUAUGAUAGAUUAAUGGAAUUGAUGGAUUAUAGAAAGGUCGAUUGGAUGAGUGGAGACGAGACACGAGAGGGAUGAAGGAGAGGACGACAUGACGGAGGUGGCAGUCGGAGGAGAGGAAGGUGGGAUAAAUCGGGUUUGUUUGCAAUCUCAAAUCUAAUGUUUGUGAUUAUUGGAGAAUGAAAUUUUUGGAUUUGGAGUGGGGGAAAAUUUUAGGGUUUGAGAUUUGGAAAAUGAAAAUUUUGAGUUGUAGGCGCGCGUUUGGGGAAAACGUUGAGGGGGAAUCUAUAUGCUAAGGGAAAAAAGUGAAUAAUGUGAAAAAUGAUGCGGCUGUUGCCCAAAAGGGUCGCAAUAACUGUCGCAGUUGUUAGAUUACGACAGUUAUUUUUGAAGGGUCGCAAAUCUGGUGUCGCAAAAUUGCAAAUUUCUUGUAGUACUUGAGUUUCACUUUAGAAGUAUGGCUUCAGUGUCCCGUGACGGCUAAUUCUUGUGUUGGCAGUAUUCUUAAUUUUGGGGUACUUACUUUUGUUAUAAGGCUUUUCUGCAGAAUGUUAUCAACGUAGAUUAUAAGCGUAGACACGACAUGCCUCGACACCAAGUCAAACAGGUAUUCUUAUUUACUUGGCUUCUUCAUAUAUGCAUCGUGUCCUGUAGCCUUGAAAUGCUUGUCAAACUGUUUUUUAUUUAUUAUUUAGAGAUCAUACUCUAUGCACGAUAGCAUGUUUUGCAUUGCCAUUUUUAUUGGUUGAUCUUUCUGGAUUUAUUAAUGUUAGGUUCGUCUAUACAAAAUCAUCAUGACAAAAUGAGAUUAUCACAAGGAAGACAUUGAGCUUGUACUUGUUUAUGACCCUGCUAUGAACUAUUCCAUCAUGACAUGCUUGUUUUGCUGCCAAGAGACUAAUUUAAUUAUUUUUUAUCUUAUAAAAUGUAUUUUGAAUGCUCAGCAGAGCUUGGCUUCUUAUAAAAUGUAUUUUGACAAAAUGUAUUUUUUUAUCUUGUUUUGCUGUCACGGAAAAAUGGUUGCCUGAACUCAAGACUGGUGUUUUGAAUACUCAGCAGAGCUUGGAAGCUUGCAAAUAUGUCAGGGGAUUGGUGAGUUACUGUUGUUAUUGUUAUAAGAUUGAUAUACCUUAAAACAGUGCUGAAAAUUCAGGAACGAGUUGAUGCAACUUCUGCUAAGCAUGUUUUAUUUACAUAUAUUGCUAUAUAAAAAACUUCAUCACAAUUGUUCAAUUUGAUAUGCAAUCUCUUGGUGCAUUCUUAUGUGUUCGUUGAUAACUAUUAAAAUUUCCGUUUUUAUUCUUACAUUGCAACUUCCUCUACAGCUUGAUGAGUAGUGGGAGCAACUGGUAUCAACCGUUGUCGACUGGGUGACAGUGGAUGGGCAAAAUGUUGUUGUCUGGUAUAAUCAUGUGAAAAAGCUUCUCACAAGUUAUGAUCAGGAGCUACUAUUGUGAAUAGCAUUGUAAUGCACCUUCAAUGACUUAUUACCACUAGUGUUUUGGUUUUUGAAUGUUUAAACCAUGUACUUUAUCUCUUGUUUUGAUUGUUGCUAUUAAAAGAAUUAUAUUUAUUGGAUUUAGAAUUUUUUAGUUAUAUAUUUAUGUAUUGUAAGUAUUUAUUAAUAUAUUAAUUUAAAUUGUCAACAAAAAUUGCCCCAUUCAAAAAAAAAAAAAUUAAAAAAACUCAACAUUUGCGACUGUUGUGAAGGGUCGCAAGUCCAUUAAAUUUAAAUUAAACCACCUACUUUGCGACAGUUCUGAAGGGUUGCAGAUAUAGUAGCGGCUGUUCUAUGAAGGGUCGCAAAAGUCACUUGCAACCCCAACAUCCGCGACUGUUGGGGAACAGCCGCAAUUGUGCAUUUGUGACCCUUCUAACAGUCGCAAUCAGCCAUUUUAAAAGUCGUAAAAUGCAGUUUUUCUUGUAGUGUAGGUACAACCCUAGAUUUGGUACUUAGGUUGUGAGAGGGCCUAAUAUUGCUAUCACUAUCUGGAUGCUUAUAUCUUGAUAUGUAUAUCCUUAUACUAGUAACUAACUGUCUAGGAAGUAAUUAGUUAUAAAUUAGCGAAAGAUACCGAAAGCGAGUUGACCCUUGUAGUAAGUACAUAGGAGGUGACAUUACUAAAAUUGAGUAGUAACUCUGUUGAACCUAGGAUGUAACUGAUUAGUAAUUAAGGAAACAAGUAUCUUCUUGAAGAAAAUAAGUUGUAGCCUCAUAGAAUCAUUCUCUUAAACCCUUAGUAAGGUAAACGUAGAUUAGGGCUGCCCGUUUGUAGAACUACUAAGUAGGUGAGAGAGGGUGUACUAUGAGUGUCCUAAUAUUCAUAGAUGGGCCGAUCUAAUGGAACCUUGGCCUUCAUUGCCUUGGAAAAAACUAGAACGACAAUUUAAUUUUAUGUUUCAAUUACCUUUAAAAUAGCAAGACCUCGCACGUAAGGAUCACUGUGCGGUCAACACGUGCAAAUUGACGAUCGAUUAGGUUAGAAACGUCCCAACGGCCUCAUCACUUGUAUUGUCACCUAAGAUAAAUAAACACGACAUUACUGUUUUUUAAUAUCCAACAAUAUAUAUAGGGAGAUUCGAAGAAUCAUAACCGCUGCUUACUUUUCUGCAACCAAAACAGGUAAACUUGCUCUGUUUCAAACAGAUAAAAAUUGCAAGCUCUCUAACCCUUAAUUUUUAUAUCGUCAAACUUACAAAAAUAAGUAACGCAAAUUGUUUGGACGAAAGGACAAUCCCAGUGGAUACGAUACUGUACUUAUCACUUUAUUACUUGGUACAAUUUGGUACACUUGCCAUUCGACCCAUCAAGUUUUUGGCGCCGUUGUCGAGGAUUGUUGAUAUUUUCGGCUAAGCAAUUUAAAUUACUUAUUUCUAUCUAUCUUUAUUUUUCCAGUCAUUUAUUUUUUCGCAUUUUAUUUUUCUGUUUAAAAUAAAAUAAAAUUAUAAUACCAAAAAUAUUAUUCCAAUUGACUCUGUCCUACUAAGAACUUUUUGUAUUUUGUUUUAUGUGUAAUACCAAAACAUGUAUUCUGCAAUUUGAUCCAGGCAUAGACAAAACUGAACGAGCACUUCAGAAAGCAGCCCGACUUGCAAGGGAAAGGACAAAACAACAUGAAAUAAUCCCAAUUCAAGACUAUUCAUCAAACGAGUCAGAAAUGAGAGAAUAAUGUCGCAUUAACCUAGGAGACUAUGCGAAGCUUGAAAACUUGGAUGAAGUAUCACUUGGUUUCCAACCAGCAAACCCGAUGAUGUUUGACAUCAAGAAUAGUGUUAUGAUGAAUUUGAAAUCUAACCAAUUUUCAGGUAAGGAGACGGAAGAUUGCAACGCUCAUUUGACACACUUUCUGGAAUCCUGCAGCACAAUCAACCCAGCUGGGGUAUCAGAAUCAGAGAAACAACAUAGGUUGUGUAGUUAUUCUCUAACCGGAAGGGCAAGGAUUGGCUCGAUGCAUUACAAAGAGGAUCUAUCGAGACUUGGGAUCAGCUCAAGAGGUAGUUCUUGGACAGGUAUUUCCCCAUUGCAAAAUACUUGGCGCGGAAGAAGGAGAUUUCCAGCAUCAAGCAACAUGAAGGAGAAGUCUUUUUUGAUGCAUGGGAGAGGUUCAAGCUACUGUUGAAGAGGUGUCCUGGUCACAAUUGUCAGAAAUGGAUAUCAUGCAAGCCUUCACUACGGGAUUAAAACCAAAUACUCGGAUGUUACUAGAUGCUUAUGGAGGAGGAACAAUGAAAAUCAAGACAUCUGACGACGUACAUGCAUUGAUUGAUAACAUGUCUCUGAAUGAAUAUCGAGGACACACCAAGGAAGAGGCGACCAAGUAAGAAAGGUAAAUCUAAACACUCAGGAUGCUUUACUUGCUAGCAAUAAACUUCUCAUCAUACAACUAAAAACAUUAGCAAAGAGGUUGGAAGCUCGUGAAGUUGUACACCUAUCUGCAAAAACCAACUGUGACAUCUAUGAGCAUGCUUAUGAAAGCUGUGCAUGCUUACCAGCAAGUUUGGGGUUUUCAGAAGAGCAUGUGAAAUGAAUAUCAUGUCUUAUUUUCAGGAAAAAUUUAAGAUAUAUGUGAUGCUUGGCACAUGCAGAAUUGCUCUUCAAUCAAGGACAGCUCUUUGGAAUAUUCAAACUUGUGUAAUGUUGUAGUAUGACUCAAAAUUUGAUGGAAGAAGAAUAUUGUUGCUAAAAAUAUAAAAGAUUUGUUUCAAAUAUAUUUUGUGCUGAAAAUAUAUUUAUGGACAAUAAAUAUAUUUUUGUAUCGUAUGAAGGACGAUUUGAUGCAAAUAUAUUUUGAAAGGGAAUAUUAUAUUUUUGAUGCAGAUAUUCUUUCACUGAAGGAGAAAAAAAAAACGAAUCUUCAGUGUGGUAUUUGUUCCAAAUUUAUGAGUUAUACUUUUACUAUAAAUAUAGACCUUGUUUCAUAGCAAACUUUGAGAGAGAGAGAGAGAGAGAUAGAGGGGGCUGAAACAAGGGUUUAGAAAGGCAACAAAAAAACUAGGGUUUGUAUAGAGUUUGUCUCUUGGGAACAAACACUAGGGUUUGUGGGUUGAUUCACCUUGGAAAACACUAUUAGGAUUGAGUUUCUUGCUUACGGGAAGAGGCUGGGACUUUGAGUAGAAUUAGGCGGGAGACUUAUUCUUGUAACCCAUUGAUUUCUCUUUUGUAACGUUACUCAUCAUAUAGUGGAUCGGAGGGCUGCUCUCUCCCCCAUACUAGGUCAAUUUGGACCGAACUGGGUCAACAAAUUCUUUUGUGUUCUUCUCUUCUUUGUGUUCUUUUCACUGUUGUUUUCUACUUUUGGCUUGUAUUUAAUUGUUUCAUACACUUUGUUUUGGUUGCUUGAUUAUCCCUUGCUCCACACAUCAAGUUGUUAUUGGUGUGAUUUCAAAUCGAAUUCGCAACAUGUAAUAAUGCAAAUCCUCGACAUUUUUGUGUUGAAGAGUCCUCAGUUUGCACAUGCAUUUCAGCAGUACUAGAUUCUUUUAAACUUUUAUUAGGAAUUGACUCAGUUUUUUAAAUUUUCACCUUCUGGUCUAUAUACUAUUUUUUUUGUUCAAUUUGUGUUUCAUGAUGGGAUCAGUUACAUCCCGUUCAUUAAAAUUGUCUAGAAAAUGAAGGAUAAUUUUUACUUAAUUAAUAUAUAUACACACACCGAAAAAAAGAGUAAGAUAAAAAUUAAUUUUUAACUUAACUAUUAAAGUUAUUCUCUUGGGUGGUGGAGUUGGGAAAAAUGUGUGAUAUAUAUAUAUAUAUAUAUAUAUAUAUAUAUAUAUAUAUAUAUAUAUAUAUAUAUAUGAAAUUCAGGCCAUGUUGAUACCGUCUAAUAUACGAGAUAAGGAUACACUGUUUUAUUUCAUUUCGUUGUCAAUAUUUUAGAGUACAAAAUCAUUACUUCAAAGUCCAUAAAAUUUGAAAAAGAAAAAAUAAAAAUACAAUUAUUCCAGCAUAAACUCAUUCAUCUCAGUGGACUCUGUUUGCAAUGGCCUUUACGACACCUACCAAUAUAGUUUCUCCCAUUUGAACAAUCUUUAUCUGUUAUACAAAUUUGAGAAUUUGGGAAAAAAAGCAGAAUCACACACUAAUAAGACAAGAAAUAAUGAAAUAAAUAGAAUUAAAACAUAAACAAACUUCAGAGUUUCAGCCAUAUUUUUCGUUCUUUGCAUCUAAAAAAAGGAUAAUAUUUGAUAUAUACUUAUAGUGUAUAAAAUUUAUGCUCUCAUAAAAAUAAUAAAAUAGUUUGAGCAUUUUUAAAAUUUUAAAACCCUUCAUAAAAUUAUAAUAAUAAAUAUCUCUUGAGUAUACAAGUGUGUUGUGUUUGUUCUUUCCACACAUAGAAAGAAGUUCAAAUAUUAAACUUGACAAUCAUAACAAUUGAAUAUUAUUAAACUAACUUUUCGGAUAUUACUUUAUCCUUCAAAAAAAACUUCAUAACUUUUUUAUCCGUUCGUGAUAAUUAAGGGAAAAAAAUAUAUUUUUGAAUAUCAUAAAAUUAUCUACACAUAUAAUGCACCAUUGGGAUUGAGACCAUAUUUAUGCACAACUAGAAUGCACUUAGGAUCAUUUUUUUUUAUUUAAUCAUUGGAUCAUAAAUAAUAAAGUUCAUAACUUUUGUAUCCUUUCGUGAUAGUAAAGUGAAAAAAAUAUAUUUUUGAACACCAUAAAAUUAUCUACGGGUAUACUGCACCAUUGGGAUUGAGACCAUAUUUAUGCACAACUAGAAUGCACUUAGUAUCAACUUAUUUUUUUUAUUUAAUCAUUGAAUCACAAAUAAUAUGAGACAUUUGCUAAAAUAGUGUGUUUGAAUAGUACCACAAAAGUUAUUGACUAUUACUUUUCUCACCCUCCUCUGUUCUCGUGCGUCCUGGAAAAAGGACACAAAUACCCCUGGUCUGCAUUAUGUAAUCCGAACAAAAUUGUUAGCAUUUUCGGAAAAAGAAUUAUGAAUAGCUACAAUAUGUGACUUUUUGUGUUUUCUUUUAUAUCAAAGGUCUCUGUUGACUGUUAUAUAACCCCCGCAUAAGUUGAAAAGCAAUUGCAGGGGUUAUAUGAACGGUCAACAAUGACCAUGACACCACAAACACUCCUCUAAAACUAAUAUAUUUUUUUUUUAAGAAAAUGUAAGAAAAGAGGUGAAGUGAAGAAUGAAGGACUUUGUUCAAGAUGCAAGCUUAUAUAUAGCCUAAAACAAUACCUAGGUCAUAAGUACAAUCAAUGAAAACGUGUUUGUGAUGCUAACCAUCCAAAAAUGCAUUAAUGGCUCCACUAACCGGCCAAACCUAUGGUGAAAUUCCACCGUCCAAAAAACAACUGAGAAUUUUUGGAUUAUAUAAUCUGAAAAUGACAAAAACAUUCCGGUUUAUAUAAUCCAAACAACACCAGAAUGCCUAUUUGGAGAAUUUUUUUGGAGAGAUUUCAUGGAAUAUGACAUAGAAAAUAAUUAAUAAAUGGAUAAAAAAAAGUAAGCAGCUUAAAACAAACAUAAACAGUAAAAUAUUCUAGGAUGGUGUUCGAAGAGGUGUUUUUGAACUCGAUCUAGCUGGCCUGCCAACUGACAUAUUUAUAUCGGCAGGCCAAGUAGAUCGAGUUCAUAAAAACCUUUUCGGAUUCAGAUAUGCAACAUAACGAUGAAAGACAAUGUAGGUGUUUCAAGAAGAUUAUAUAUUUUUGACAGCAUGUUGAAGAUCUUCAUCAUGCAGUCAAAUAGAGAGCAAUCUAUUUGCGACCGCAUGAGGAAGAUCCUCAGCACAAUGACAAAAUUUUCCAUGAUUUCUUUCGUGGGUUUGUGUGUGAUUUUGCUGGAAAUGAAUAUUAAAACCUGAAACACUUAUUUAAGGAGGUCUCUAGACGUUGUGGACCACAUAAAUUGUCGGUGCAUUGUGGUCCAUAUAAAAGAAUCCUAUGCUGAAGGAAUUCAGAUUAUGUAAUCCGAAUUCCACUUACGUACACCCUAUAAAAUUGAGUUGAAUUCGAAUGAUUUUAGCGUUUAAAUGAACAUCUUUAGCGUAAAGUAAAACAUAAUGAAAAUUUAGAUAAUAUAUAUUAUUUAGGGUUAAUAUAUAUAUAUAUAUAUAUAUAUAUAUAUAUAUAUGUUUACCCCAUGUAAUAUUAGCGAUUUCCGAUUUACCCCACUGUAAAAAAAUUGUUUAGAUUCCCACCCUGUAAUUUGAAGAUUUUUGGUUUUGGACCUUCAUGAAUUUUGACUGUACAAAAUCGAUGAUAUGACAGGGGGUAAACGAAAUAUCGAUGAUAAGGCAGGGGGUAACGAAAUUCUCUCAAAUUUCAGGGGACGAAAGUACCUUAAAUUUUGAAAUUUGAUGCCAUGAAGGUCCAAAAUCAAAAAAUCUUCAAAUUACAAGGUUGGAAUCUAAACAAAUUUUUUUACAUGAGGUAAACCAAAAAUCACUAAUAUUACAGGGGGUAAACAUAUAUUAACCCUUAAAUAAAACUCAAAACACAUAAUUAAAUAAAACAUAACACAUCGUCACGGAUCAUCUAAAUUAAUGUCUUUGUUUGGUGCGUUCAUUAGUGCAAUGAUCUCUUCGUAGUUCGUUGGCCGAAUCAAACUUUGUUGAAUAUGUUCCACAGAUCUGACCAACGAAGCGUCCAACAAGAUCGGCCCUCUAGUAUUGAACUGACCAAAGAUGGAGAACAUGGUUCUCACGUCGUCGUCGUUCAUGAGUUUGAUCCGGCUGAACCGCACACUCUCGGCUGAGUUGAUCGACGGACGUCGAUACUCAACACCAUCCACCCUCAGUGUGUCUCUGUAGUUGAGUUCGAUGUUGAUUUGAUUUAGCUGACUCUUCAACCCGAAGAGGGUGACAUCAGUGGGAAUCCUGAACAGAUGGGGUGGUUUUCUCCCGUUGCAGUAAACUGCAGGUAGCUUGGUGUUUGAAUCAAAGACAUAGUUUUCCAUGGUUCUUUUUGUGUGGUUUCUGGUUAUGAACACAGAGACACCUAUUUAUAGAGGUCCCUGGGCGUCCUGGACCACACAAAUUGUCGGUGCAAUGUUGACCAUAUGAAAAAAAAAAUCAUGUUUUCGAUUGUAUAAUCUGAAAUGUCCCUAACCCCACGUAAGGUGCGCAACUUCCUUUAAUUUUUCCCAAUAUCGUAUAAAUUUGUAUUACAUAAUCCGAAAACCAUGGGAGAUUUUCGGAUUGUAUAAUCCGAAUAGAGUCAGUUUCUACGGAGAUUUCAACAAGAAUGUUCUCCCUGGACAUCGUCAGGGAAGUGUAUUCCGUGAAGCGACCGCCAGGUCCUUUUCCUUCACGGACAACUUUGUCUUCCUUCUUUAUGUCAUGGAAGGGCUUUUAGGAGGACUCAGCAGCAGGUUUCUCCUUCCUGGCCUUGUUGAGGCUGUUAGCGUAGACUUCCUCCUCGUACCGGAUGUAUGUUUUUACGAUCGCGAGGAGUCGAUUAUAAUUCUCCGAGCGAUCGAGGCGGAUAACCUUCUUUAUUUCUAUGCCUUCGCGCAGACCUCUGGUGAUGAGGUACCGUUUCAUUUUCUCAUCGGCACCUCAUAUCUAAACAGCUUCUUUAUUGAACCUCUCGAUGUAGUCUUGGAGAGGCUCACUCUUUCCUUGAACAAUGGCUUCAAGGGACGCCAUUGUUUUGGGAUGGGUCCUUGAAGCCGUGAAGUGAGUGGUGAACUUGUGACAGAGGAAGCCCCAUGAAUCUAUGGAUUUUCUCCUUAAGUUCUUAAAUCACGUCAUAGCUCUUCGUAUUAGUGUGGUGCCGAAGAGAUUACAUUUGACUGCUCCUCGUAAUGCUCGGUACUUGAGGACAACCUCAAUAUUCUCGAUGUGCUCAUCUAGGUCUGAAGUCCCGUCAUAUGAGUCCAUCUGGGGUGGUUUCUCUAAUCCAUGGGGGAUUGGAGUCGCUCGGAUGUGGCGAGUGAAGGGGUCGUAGGUGUAUCGACCUCGGUUAUCAUGUUUGUCGUCGGAGCUUGAGGAGAUCUUCUUGUAGGAGACCGCCUAGGUGGAGAGCGCCUUGGUGACCUCCUUCUGGUUGACCGCCUUCCGCGACUAGGAGAUCUCGUGAUGACCGAGCGUCUAGGAGACCUAGAUCUGGAACGGCGGGGACUCCUUCCCCUUCUGUUACGCAAUGGGGAAGGAGUCUCACGAAUGUGGAUCAGCUGCCUCUUUGAUUGUCCAAGUUCGGAAAUACGUCGACUCUGCUCCUCGGCUAACGUUAUUUGAUUUUUAACCAUGCGGAGCAGGAGACCGAUUUGUGACUCCGUCGAUUUAUCGUCCAUCUCCUCGGGCCUUAGAGGGUCAAAGAGUGGUUGAUCCUGCGUCGGCACAGCUAAGUGGGCACUCGUAGCAGUGGUUCCUCUUCGGAGGCUAUGAGAAGGAGAGGGAGAAGUCGUUUGUCCAUCAUGGUUAGGACGUUGGACAAGGCUCUGUAGAAGUGGUGCAUCACCGUUGACAGCCAUGGUUUUGUACGUAAAGCUUUGGUUUUUUGUAUGUAAAAAACGGGGAGAGCUUAUUAUUUCCCACAGACAGCGCCACUGAUCGUACCUGAUCAGAAUGUGGUUGUAGGUGCUUUGUAUAAUGGAGUGUUUCAUGGUGGUGAAUGUGUUCCGGUGAGCGUUGGAUCGAAUGGGGGGAGUGUACCUGCAGACACUCCAACGCUCAAGUAAGUAAGUAAAGGUUCAUAAUGGGGUUUUAGAGUGAAAGGGAUUCUACCUUGGAGGCUGUGUAACGACCUCUCUAAUUAUUUGAUUAUUUUAAUGAGUUUAAAAUAUACUUAUAUGAUUUGUGUGAUUUCUAUGAUUUAUUUUGAUGAGUGAUAUUUUGUUAUGAUAUAUGUUGGUAUUUAUUAGUAUAAUAUAUAUGUUAUUUGAUUUAGAAAUAUAUAUAUGUUAUUUAGAAAUAUAUAUAUAUAUAUAUAUAUGUUAUUUGAUUUAGAAAUAUAAAUGUUAUUUGGUUUAGAAAUAAAUGUUAUUUGUUAUAGAAAUAUAUAUGAUUUGUUAUAGAAAUAUAUAUGACCUGUUGUAGAAAUAUAUAUGACCUGUUAUAGAAAUAUAUAUAAUUUGUUGUAGAAAUAUAUGUUAUUUGAUGUAGAAAUAUAUAUAUAUGUUAUAGAGAUAUAUAUGUUGUUUGUUUAUAUGAUUAUAUGAUUUAUUAGGUAGCUUAUUAUAUUGUUUAAUAAAAUAAGAUUUGAAAAUAAAAUAAAAUAUUUAGUUAAGGGCUGUUUCGUGAAUUUAGAGAGUUUAGUGGUGUAAGUGGAAUAAGAUAAAAUAAGUAGGUUGAGGAUUUAUAUAAAUAGGAGAGACCUAGUUUAGAAAAAAAACAUAAUGUACGACUGUUUUUGGAGAAAAGAGAGAAAAAGCCAUAGAAGGGAGAAGACAAGAGAGAGCUGCGAUUUUCACAUUCUAAGGUAAGGGUGGGACUAACAUUCAAUCUUCUUAAGCCUAUGAUUCUGAAUUUGUGAUUUAACAUGUUGUUGUUCUUAGGUUGGAUAAUUGGGAUUAGGUUUUGAUUAUUGAUUUUUGAAUUGAAAAGUGUAGAAACCAUCGAAAUUGUGUUAAGAAUUGAAGUUCAGGCUGUAGAAUAAACAUAGGUUGAGUUUCCUAUCAAAUUUGGGAUUUGGGUUGAUGAAAUUGGGGCUUUUGGAGUAAAAACUGAUCUGUUCCCGUAGAUUUGUCUGUCGCAACUCGCCACAGCGAGUACACUUACUCGCCUCGCGAGCUCACUUUGACAGCAUUCCCUGUUUCGCGUUCUUGCGUCUUUUUCACACGUUUCUGUUUUGAAUUGGCCUUUGGUGUAAACAUGAAAGUUGUAGAUAAUUGUGUUAGCUUUCCAGUGGCUUUGGUUUGACAUGAAAAUGAUUUUUGGUGUUUGAGAUAUGAUGAAAAUACUCCAAGGAGGUCUUAGUGAAUUUUUAUGAAUUUCAGAACAACUUUGUCCGAAUUUGAAAUAAAAACUGGUAUUGAUUGGUACCGAAUUGGUCUUAGGUGUAAACACGAAGUUGUAGGUAUGAAUGUUAGCUUUCUAAUGUCAUUGGUCUGACGUCAAAACGAUUUAUAUAACUUGAGUUAUGGUCAAAUUACUGCACGUAGGUCACAGUGAAAUCUUAUGAAAAUUCAGCAUAACCAUUUCUAAGUUAAUCCAAAACUUAUGGGAUAAUACUGUCGCGUCAUUUUUUUGGAGAUCAAGGCUAUUUGAUUAGCUUUUAACUCACUAAUUAUUUCACGACCGAACAUUUUAUUUUUUAAGAAAAAGGGGAAAAAAGUUCAAAACACCCCAUAUUGAGAGAUUUAGGGUUCGGGGGUUGGUUAUAUUUAGGGAAGGUAUUAGCACCCUAAAUAUUCGUAGUACUCUACUAGAACCUCUUGAUUUUAUUUAAUUAAUGUGCUAUAACUUGCUUAUUAUUUUUGAAAAGAAGGAAUUAAAGUGAUAAAAAUAAUUAUCUACUAGAACCUGUUGAGUGUUUUUUAUUAGUUUUGAAAAAGGUUUUAAAAUGAAAAGCCAAGUGGCAAAUGAGUAUUUGUUUGUGUUUUUUAAUAUUGAAAAAAGAGACUUAAAGUAAAGUUAAAUUGAUUGAAGUUUGAUUAAGAAAAGAAAAUAAAAAUGCGGUCACUUGAUUUGGAUCAAGGUUUAUUAUGAAAAUAUUUUUGUGAUUUUGAUUAUUUGCAUGUUUUUGUUGUUUUUUUGGAAUAUUAAAUAAAAAUUAAACUAACGGAACAAUAAAAAUAAAAGCGCGUGGAUUUUUGUAGUGACGUUGGAUCACCACAAAAUCCCUAAUCUAUUUUUUUUUGCAUUUUUGGAGACAUCUAAGGCGGUAAAGAAAUAAAAGGACACACACACCCACACACCUUUCUCAUUUAUAUUUACAUUGGACCUAAAUACAUUCUAAUUGCUGGAAAAUAAAUAACAAUAAUUAAAAUGCUAAAUAGAAAUAAAAAAAAUGCAAAAAUGCUAAAAAGAAAUAAAAUGCAAGAAAAUAAAAGAAAUUGACAACCGAAGGGACAAAAAUUACCGAAGGGACAGAAAAAAGAGGGAGAAGAAAAGAAUAGCUCGUCAACACAAGCUAAAGAGGGAGAAGAGAGAAAAGUUCUUUGACAACUCAAGAGAACUGUUGGUGUGUGAAAUUGUGUGGAAUGAGAGCUCUAUUUAUAGGUGAGAAGGUUGAUGAAGAAAGGAAAAUUGGUUUAAUGGAAAUGAUGGACAAUUAUGGUGAAUUUUGAAAAAGGAAUGUUAAAGUUGACACUUGACUUGAAAAUUUUUUAGACCUUGGACAUUUUAUUUUUGGACUUAUUGACACUUUGUUUUUUUUUUACACUAAUUAAUUAAAAAUAAAUAAAAUAAAUCUAAUACGAAAUAAAAAUAAAAAUAAAUUAAACUAAAUUAUUUAAAGAAAAAUAAAAUUAAAAGAUGAAAAAUAAAAAUUAUUAAAUAUAAAAAAAAAAGUAACUAAUCUUAAAAUUAAAAUUAAUAAAAAGAUGGAAAGAAAAUAAAAAGAUAAAAGAGGGUCCGACUCGGAAUCAAAAAAUGAGGUAUUUUAAAAUACCUCCCUGCCGAAUUUUUUUACUGAAAAAUCAGAGAUUGAUCAUAGUCGAGUGACAUGUGUCAGUGGGGCCUUAGGUCAAAAAUUGGGGUAUGACAAAUACCAACCAUCAAAACUAGAAGUUCUACGAGUUCAAUUAAGGUGUUUAAGAGUAUAAUAAUAUGAUUUAGUGUUGGGGUAGGAAUGUGGGUUGAAUAUAAUAUUAUUGAUGAUCUGUGAAGCUAUUAUAAUAUGAUUUAGUGUUGAUAGUAAUGUAAUAUAUUUGUAUAUGCAUUAUGUGAAUUAUAUAUGAUGUUUAAGUUGUUGUUGAUUAUCAUUUGAUAUUGUUAUAUCUUGAGAUGUUUACGUGUCGCCUAUGUUGUUGUUGUUGGUUAUGUGAAAUAUUUAUAUGCCUUAUGUGGAAAAUGUAUGAUGUUUAAGUUGUUGAUGCUUCACAUUAAUAUUGAUAUGUUGUGAAUUGCUUGUGCUGUUUCUGUUGCUGUUAUGAACUGCUAAGUUGUUUGUAGUGUGAUUUAAUGAUUAAAUGCAUUACUCGAAAUAUUAUUGAAUGAUCAAGAUGUUGUUGAAAAGAAUUGUUAUUAAGCUUGUUGUGAUUUGAUUAUGCUGCAAUUGUUAUUUAACUAAGUUGCAUGAGUAUGAAUAAGUUGAUGAUGAACUCCGAAUUAUUGGAUGUAUAAGUGAUAAGUUGAUUAAAGUGUCUUGUUGAUAGCGUCCAUGCAUUAGCAUUCAUUGAGCUUUGUCCUCACCAUGAUUAGGAGCUUUGUCCUCCGCACGAUAGGAGCUUUGUCCUCCGCACGAUUAAAGUAUAUUAAUACUUAUGAUGACGAUUGGUACCACAUGCAUAUAAGUGUCUAAGUUGCAUUGUCGCAUCUGUCGAGUCAAAGUCGUUGUUGAUGAAUUAUCAUCCAUGAGUUGUUAAGUUGUCGAUGAAUUAUCAUCUACGAGUUGUCGAGUUGUUUUCUACCCAUGUGUUGUUAAAGAAGUACCUAUGAAGGUUAUACGAUGUUUAUGAUGUGAAUUAUAUGAUGUUGACUAAGAUGUUGCUAUGUUGUUUAAGAUAUUGAUUAUGAUAUUGUUAUGUUGCUAUGAUGUUGUAUAUGAUAUUGAUUAUAAUGUUAUGAUGUCGUUUAUGAUGAUUAUGUUGUGAUUGAUUAUUAUCAUAAAGUGAUGAUUAUGUUGUGUGGUCUAAGUUAUUAUGUGAUGAUGAUUAUAUUGUGUUGUUUAGGUUAUUAAGUGAAUAUUAUGUUAUGUUGUUGUAAGAUGAUGUUUAUGUUGUGAUGUAUAUAAUUAUUAUUAUUAAGUGAUGAUUACGAUAUGUUGUUGUUAUAUUACUAUAUGAUGAUGAAUAUGUGUUGUUAUAUUACUAUAUGAUGAUGAAUAUGUUGCUGUUAUAUUAUUAUUAGAUGGUGUUUAUGAUGUGAUGUAUAUAAUUAUUAUUAUUAAAGUGAUGAUUAUAUUGUGUUGUUUAAGUUAUUAGUGAUUGAUGAUUACAGGAUGUUAUAUAUGAGUUGUUAAAUGUACUUGAUGACGUUUAUGUUAAGUUGAUAAGUUGUCUUUUAUUCAUGAAUUGAUAAUGAGAUGUUUGGUGGAGAAAUGUUAUUACGAAUUAAUGAUGUUGUUAUGUUGUAUAUGAAUUAUGAUUAAGAUGUUGUUAGGUUGUAUAUGAACUAUGAUGUGAUGAUCUAUGAUGUUACGAUUUAGUUAAUAUGUGCUAUAUAAUGAUGUUUAUAAUGUGAUGAAUAUGAAGUAAAUGAUAAUUAGAAGUUGGUUGAACUAUUAAGAGUUAUUACAUGAAGAAUUAUUAUUACUAAUAAAUGAAGUUAUUUACGUUGUUAAAUAUAAUUAUUGAAUUAUAUGCUUGAUAUUAUUGUUUUGUGAAAUCUCACCCCUUCUGCUUGAAAAUGUUGCUAUUCGUAUGAGUAACUUGCAAGUAAUCAAGUUUAGCUGUGAAGUGAGUCGAUUCUGUCACGUGUGUCUUUAGGUGCUCUGAUACGUAACGGGAUGGGAACUUUGUUAUUGCUUUUCUAUUCCUUACGUAUUGUUUUUGAAGAUUUAUGACUAUGUUUUUAGAGUGGAUUUUUAUGAGACAUUUAUGAAGAGGCCUUCGUGCCAAAGACUGUUUAGUUAUUGAAUAUAUUCCGCUGCGAAGUAUUAAAGAUUUUGUUAUUGAAUUUUAAAGGAUAAAUAGUUAUUUAUUCAGUUUAUGAUUUUAAGAAAAGAAUGUGACAUUCCGUUUACGUGGAAAACUCUGAUUAUUUUUAUGAAAUUUUUAUAUUGGGAAAACGGGGUGUUACAGGCUGCGAGGAGCCUCCUAUUAAUAGAGGUGGGUAAAUGCAGAGCCGUUGUAAUGGCACACGUUUGUCCGGCAGUUACCAAAUCAUAAGAGGUGCAACCGCCGGUGAAAUAUUCAUGGGAACGUGGGAAAAGAGACGUUACUAUUCGUUUGAACAGGUCUUAGUUGCUACGGACACCCCCUCGCAGGGAAGGGGUGUGCUGCGAGUAAUUUGCCAAAUGCAUCAUUUUGGCUUGGUUUGUUAAUGAGCCUAAGCAAUUAAGUCCAUGUCUUUGACCGGUCCAGAACAGUUAGGAUUCUUCGAAUCCCUUCUGUAUACAUGUUGUUGGAUAGUAAGUAAUAUAAAUGUCGGGUUUAUUUAUCUUAGGUAGAAUAUACAAGUGAUGAGGUUGUUGGGACGUUCCUACUUAGGUAAGGAACCACCUGACUCAAUAGGUUUUAGCCACUUAGUACCUAAUUAGGCUUAUCCCUCCGAUGGCUAACAGCACCUGCUGAUCGCGCGGUGAUCAUUACAACGGGGUCUUGCUGAUUCAAAGGUAAUUGAAACAUAAACUUUAUAUUGGCUUUCGAGUGUUUCCGAAGGCAAUGAAGGUAAAGGUUCCCUUAGGUCUUCCCAUCUAUGAAUCUUAGGACACUUAUAGCACUCUCUUUCUACGCUUUCUUACUAGUUCUACAAAUGGGCAGCCCUAAUCUACGUCUACCUUACUAAGAGUUUCAAGAGAAUGGUCUUCUAAGGUUAUAGCUUUAAGUCGGACAACUAGGUGCUUGAUUCUCUAAUUACUAACUAGUUAAAUCCUAGCUUCGAUAAGGCACCACCUGACCCAAUGGGUUCUAGUCAUUGGGUACCUACAUCUAGGGUAAACAAUUCCUAUGGUAUCUUUGGCUAGUUAAUAAUCACUUACUUCCUAGACAUAUAGUUAUCAGUAAAGGGAUAUAAAUAUGAAGAUAUAAGCAUCCAGUUAGUGAUAGCAAUAUUAGGUCAUGUCACAACCUAAGUACCUAAUCUAGGGUUGCACCUCUCGCAGAAAUAAAACUACUUCCUAAUAAAAUUUAAUAGUGAACAAGAGAAUAAAUAAAUAAAAUAAACGACAUAUUAAAUUAAAUAAAUAUCCAACAAAAAUAUACAGAAGUUCAUCUUAGAACUCUAACCUAAAAAGAUUUAGUUAUACAUGGUAAUUGAAAACAAAUUACUAAAGAUAAAAUCAUACCCUAGAAAAUCAUGGAGAAGAUAGAUUCUCUCCCGAAGCUUGAUAAGUCAUAAUUGAAGUGGUUUUUAAGUGUUUAUUUUAGUAUAAUUUUAUGUCUUUUAAUUUCAUUUUAGAACUUUGGUACUUCAAAUUUGUUUGUUUUUACAAGUCUGAUUUGGUUCAUAUUUAUGUGCUGAUUUAGUGCAAAUUUAUGUUUCGAUUUGGGUUGUUUUUAUGACCUAUUGUUGUGCCUUAUAUUGUGGAAGUAUUUCCUUUCUAGGGGCUUUUUUUUUUUGGAUAAACCAGGGGAGAGAACAGGCAUCAAAAGGUAGCUUCGACAUCCCAACUAGGUUGGCACCCCGGAGAACCUCCAUCCUAUGCCGCCAAACUCAAACUAUUAUUAAAAAAAAAAGGGAAACAUAUACAAAAGGGGGGACUAGGCCAAGACCCUCAAAGAAAAAAAAAACGAGAAAGAAAAGAAAAAGGAAACAAGAAACAACAGACUAAGGGAGUCUGUAAUUGGGUAGACCUACUCUAUCCCCGAAAAAAUCCGCAGUCACCUCAUGAGGUAACGUAGUGAAACAAACAGUGUCGUGAGCUGCAUGCCCCAUGGCUGCCAACUUGUCCGCACAAUAAUUGCCCUCUCAGAAAGUAUGAGAUGAAAUGACCCGGAUACUCCGGUGACGAGCAUUGCCCACCUAUUACGCAUCAGAAUCGGAACCAAGGAGGUGUUAUGAAAAACCAUAAGAGCACUAGUGGAAUCACUUUCCAACCAGAGAUGGGUCCACCCAUUAAGAGCCGCAAACUCUAAAGCAAUAAUAAAACCCAUAACUUCUGAGUUAAAAACAAAAUCAAUGAUGAGGUUACAGGUGAAGGCGCCAAGCAAAGAGCCUAAAUGGUCCCUGAACAAUCCAACACAGGCAGCAUGGUUGCCAAUAACCGAGCCAUCAGUGUUCACCUUAAACCACGGAGGGGAAGGCGCUUUCCAAAUAACGGUAAUAAUGUUAGACACGUGUCUCUGGUGUGCUGCCACAAAGAAAGAAUCAAGUAAAGGCCUAUCAGAAGCAAUAAAUUUUCCAGACGACAGAUUACCACUCAUUGCAAUGGCUGAAUGCAAUCGAACCUGAGAGGCGUGAAGGGUCACUAUAUCAGAAGAAAACCUUAUAGAGUUACGGAGAAUCCAAAUAAUAUGUGGCGUAUGAACAAUCCCCACAACAAAUAUGUCAAAGACCUGAGAGGAGUAAGCAAGCGGAAUACAGGAAAGCAAAGCUAGAACAGAUGAUUUAUCAAUUGUACAAUCCAACUUACUUCCAAGCCAACUCCGAAGACUAAUAGCAAAGGGGCACCUGAGGAACAAAUGCUCUGAGGUUUCAUCAGUGAUUAAACAAAAGCAACAUACUGAGACUAUAACAAAACCCCGAGUGCGGAGGUUCUCAUCAGUCGGCAUCUUUCCAUGAAACAAACGCUAGAAGAUGAAAGAGUGAGAAGGAGGGACGCAAUUCCUCCAAAUCGAGUUCGGCCAAUCCAACACAUGAGCAGCCUGCUGCAAAAAAGAGAACGCUUGCUUAGCAGAAAGAGAACCAUAAGGAGAAUGAAGCCAAGCCAAAGUAUCCAGGAGGUGCGAAACCGGCAAAAUAAUAGAGUUCACAAGGGCAUCCACAUGGGGGACAAGGCGCAAACAAUCUGGAAUGCUCCAGCCACCAUCCACAAUAAUGUCUUCGACCUUUGAGUUAAAACCAACAUGAAGAGUCGGAUCAAUGGGUAACAAGUCCGCAAGAGGCUCCCCCAACCAAUUAUCCGUCCACAGGUUAAUAACAUUACCGGAACCAACAAUCCACUUGGAAUUUAAUAGUACCAUGUCGACAUGCGUCUUAACACCAGGCCAUACAAAGGAUUUAAAAUAAGAUAAACGGGGCUUCCCAUUACAAAGAAAACACUGCCCACAUAAAACUGCCCACUGAGAAUUUGAUGAUAUCAGGUUCCACGCCAAUUUCAGCAUAAAUGAAUCAUUGAUAAGACGGGAAGGCUUGAUAUCAAGAACCCCAGAGGACCAAGGUCGACACAAAACCUUCCAAGAAACUGUACAAACCUUUUUCGUGUGUGUAUUACCACUCCAAAUAAAAUUCUUGAGCCAAGAAUCCAGCAAUCGCAAAAGACGACAAGGCCACAUGUAAACAUGAAAAGAAUAAACUAACAUACCUUUCUAGAGGCUGGCUUUUGCUAUGUAUAGAGAGGACAAUCAGACUUGUAAAUCAUCUUUCAAUCUUGGAAUAUUUGUGACAGUUGUUUUCCAUUGAUUUAAAUUGAUCAAAGCUUUAUUUUCUUGUUCUUUAAUUCCUUGUUUUUUACAAUUCCGCACUUUUACAUUCAGCAAUCUACUUCCAUGUCUUUCUAUUCCGUCAAUUUAAUUUCUUCAUCUACCAUGACCAUGAGUGAGUAGAUCUCUAGGUAUUGGGAUUCUUGGAUGAGUCUAAUGAGUUAAUUUCUAUAAAACCAAGCCUAGAACCCUAAUCUUAUUUAAAUCUAUUUUCAUUGUUUUCAAACUCAGUAACAAGUAUUAAACAAAGGACCGAAAUGUGAAGUUUAAUAGUUGUUAUUUCAUCAUCUCAAAUAUCAAACGAAGGAUCGAAAGAUGAAGUUUGAUAUUGGAACAAAUGAAAUUAGACAAGACGACACAAAACUUGAUGGGAACACCCCAAAUGAAUAGUCUUAUGAAGUAUUGAGGCAAUAAGUUUCGCUCUUAAAGGAUUUCAAUAACAAUCAACCAUGAGAAUAGGCGUGAUUUUUAUUGAAACACACUCAUGGAUUCUGAAAGGAACCAUAAAAUAUAUUAGACAAACUCGUCUUUAGAAACGAAUUUAAUUUAAGAGGAAAAUAUAGGUUUGGAUUGUGAGUAAUUUGUCAUUACGAUGAACAAUAAUCCCGAGCCACUUUUAAAUUCUGAAUUUUAUUCCAACGUUUUGUUAAACCUCUAAACUUUGAUCUUUUCAGCUAAUCAUAAUUAGAAAGAAAAUCGGUAAUUACAACAACUCCAUGUUGAACGAUAUCUUACUACUUCAAUAGAACCAUGCGCUUGCGGAUUCACAUCAAGUUUUUUUGCGCCGCUGCCGGGGAGUUAGUAAUAUUGAUCAACUUUUUAGUACCGGUUAGCUAAAAUUUUUCUUUUUCUUUUUACUUCAACUUUUGAUCGUCAAGCUAAUGAUGUUAAAAGAGCGCUGUGUGGGAGGCAACCCACGAGUUAAUGUCAUUUCUUUUGUUUUUGUUUUGCAGAAUAAUAAAAGAAAAGCUGCAUAAAGGAGAUGUCCCAGAAUCAACAAAUUCCACAUUCAAUAGGUGCACCCACAUGAGCAACAUUAAAUCAUGUGAAUUUUUCCCUUUUUCGCAAUUUUAUCUUUUUAAGUCAUUGAUUACAAUGCUUAGCCCAAAUAUGGGAGAGUCAAUAAAGUGUCUUGUUUAAGUUUAAGUGUCUAGUUUAAAUGCCUGUUUUUGAAUUCCCGUUUAUUUGAGUUUUUGCUUGUUUUGUAAGUGAAUGGUGAAGUGUAAGCAACGUGUCUGUUUUGUGUUUUGUAAUGUGAUAUAUAAAAAAAAAAAAUAUAUAUAAGUUUCUUCCAAAAGGUUGUUUAAGGAUGAUUAUGUACAUGAAAACAAAAAAUUUGUGUUUUGAGUGCUCUUGCUAUACCCGUAUCAGUUUCAAUGUGAAAUUCUCUCUUUGAAAAAAGCAAAAAAAUGCAGUCUUUGAGUGAGUGUGUAGGUAGAUAUUUUAAGGAGCACGUUCUAACUUCAACGAUAAAUUAACCCUCAAAAGUUUAAUUUUAAGAGUAAAAGUAGUAUGAGUUUGUGUGGGGAACAAAAAGUUCAAAAAUAAAGUGACCGUAAAGAAACCGAUAAUGGUUGGUCACCAAGACAUUAAUUAAAUGAUCAAGUGCCUAAAAUUAGUUGAUUAUCAAGAGGGACGGAAGUAAAUAUACGAGAUAAGGAUACACUGUCUUAUUUCAUUUCAUUGUCAAUAUUUUAGAGUACAAAAUCAUGAUUUCAAAGUCCAUAAAAUUUCAAAAAGAAAAAAGAAAAAUACAAUUAUUCGGUGCAUGCACAAAAACCAAAUGACAGCUCCUCGAAUAUUCCAGUAUAAAGUAUAAUCUGCAAUUAUUUUGCUAGAGCAGAAACUCAUUCAUCUAACUAGCCUCUGCUGGCAGUGGCCUUUACGACACCUACCAAUAUAGUUUCUCCCAUUUGGACAAUCUUUAUCUGUUAUACAAGUUUCAGUAUUUGCUACAAAAGCAGAAUCACAUACUAUUAAGACAAGAAACAAUGAAAUAAAUAGAAUCAAAACAUAAACAAACUUCAGAGUUUCAGCCAUAUUUUUCGUUCUUUGCAUUUAAAAGAUAGGAUAAGAUUUGAUAUAAAUAUAGUGUAUAAAAUUUAUGCUCUAAUAAAAAUAAUUAAAUGUUUGAAUAUUUUUAAAAUUUUAAAACCCUUCAUAAAAUUAUAAUAAUAAAUGUCUCUUCAGUAUAUAAGUGGGUUGUGUUUGUUCUUUCCACACCUAGAAAGAAGUUCAACUAUUAAACUUGAUAAUCAUAAGCAUUGAAUAUUAUUUGACUAAUUUUUCGGAUAUUACUUUAUCCUUUCGUUAUAAUAAAGGGAAAAAAUAUUUUUGAAUAUCAUAAUAUUAACUACAAAUAUAAUGCACCAUUGAGAUUGAGACCAUAUUUAUGCACAAGUAGAAUGCACUUAGGAUCAAUUUUAUUUUUUUUAUUUAAUCAUUGGAUCUUAAAUAAUAAAGUUCAUAACUUUUUUAUCCUUUCGUGAUAAUAAAGGGAAAAAAAUAGUUUUUUGAAUAUCAUAAAAUUAUCUACGGAUAUAAUGAACCACUAGGAUAGAGACCGUAACGUCUGUUUUGAUUAAUUAAUUAUUUUGUUGAGUUUAGAAUAUAUUUAUAUGAUUUAUGUGAUUUAAGUGAUUUAUGUGAUUUAAUGAGGUGUUGUGACUUAUUUUAUUGUUUAAUAAAAUAAGAUUUGAAAAUAAAAAAAAAAAUAUUGAGAUGAGGGGUUGUUUUGAGAUUUUAGAGAGUUUUGGGGAAGAAAGAGGAAAUAAGAUAGAAUAGAUAUAAAUAGGUGAGAGCUAGGUUUAGAAAAGUUUAACGUACGAUCAAUUUUGGAGAAAAUGGAGAAAAGUCAAGAGAAGAGAGAAGAACCAACAAGAGGCUGCGAUUUCAAAUUCUUAAGGUAAGGACGAGACUAACAUUCAAUCUUAUUAAGUCUGUAAUUCUGAUAGUUGUAUUUAACAAGUGUAGGAUUAGUUUUAGACAAUUGGAGAAUCAGGUUAAAGUGAGGAAUUGAUGAUUAAUUGAUGAAAAAGUGUUAGAUUGAUGUAGAAACUGUUUACAGACCUUAGAUAAUCCAUAGUUUGAUAUUUGGAAUCAAUGUUAAGCUUAAAACCAUGCCUUUAGGUGGAUUUUCGUGAAAACUGCAAUUAUGCCAGAGCAAACAUUCAUCGCUCGCCUCCCGAGUGAUGAUCCUCGCCCUCGCGAGUGGUGAUCUUCAUUGUUCGCCUCGCGAGUUGCACCUUGCAGCUCGCCAUAGCGAGUGUGACCAGUGAGUCGACCAUGAUUUUGUAAAUUGAUCCUUUAGUCGAGCUCUAGAUGUUUUUUAGUGCCUGAAUAUGUAUAAUAAUGAUUAGGCAAGUUUUUAGAUUGAGAUUGAACCUGGGAAAGUUUAAAAAUGGAUUUUUGGAUGAAAAAUGUCAAAUUCCCGAGAGCACCUAGUUUCUUGUUUGCCAAGGCGAAUGCCUAAUUCUUGAACUCGCCAUAGCGAGUAGAGUGGCUCGCCUUGCGAGCUGCCCAGUUUCAGAAUACCUUGUUUAGGGUAGGAAUGGAGGUUAUAUAUGAUAUUAAUGAUGAUCUGUGAAGCUUUUUAAGAUGAUUUGAUGUUGUUAAUAAUGUGAUAUAUUUGUAUAUGCAUUACAUGAAUUAUAUAUGAUGUUUGAGAUGUUGUUCAUUUGCAUUGAUAUUGUUAUAUCAUGAGCUGUUUUAUAUACUGCCUAUGUUGUUGUUAGUUUAUUAACUAAGCUGCAUGAGUCGGUCUAAGUUGAAAGAUGUUGUUCCAAAUUAUUGAAUUUAUAUAAGAGGUCGAUGUUUCUAAGAUGUAAGUUGUUGAGUCCAUGCAUACUCAUUCAUUGUUGGGGGCUUGAUGCCCUAGAGCUUUAGCUCAAUUAAGUUGAGGGCUUGAUGCCCUGGAAGUAUAUUAAUACUUAAUAUGUUGAGGGCUUAAUGCCCUAGAUUGGUACCACAUGCAUGAUUAAGAGGUCUAAGUUGCAUAGUCAAAUUGAAGUCACAUUGUCGAGUCGAGUUGUUAAGUUUUGUUCUAUACAUGAGUUGUUAAUGAAGUAUGAUAUGAUUAUAUUAUUAUCUAUG
rnacentral:lncRNA from 1 species